GUUCUGAUGAUGAAUGUAACUGUUCAACUGCUGCAUGAUACAGAAUGAACUAUAGCUUAAUUCUGACAGAG
ensembl:snoRNA Gm24299 predicted gene, 24299